rnacentral:rRNA from 1 species
CACGUAGGGCGCAAGCGUUGUCCGGAAUUAUUGGGCGUAAAGAGCUCGUAGGCGGACUGUCACGUCUGCUGUGAAAAGCUGGGGCUUAACCCUGGCCUUGCAGUGGAUACGGGCAGACUAGAGGUAGGUAGGGGAGAAUGGAAUUCCCGGUGUAGCGGUGAAAUGCGCAGAUAUCGGGAGGAACACCGGUGGCGAAGGCGGUUCUCUGGGCCUUAC